rnacentral:rRNA from 1 species
UACGGGGGGGGCAAGCGUUGUUCGGAAUUACUGGGCGUAAAGGGCUCGUAGGCGGCCGCCUAAGUCAGACGUGAAAUCCCUCGGCUCAACCGGGGAACUGCGUCUGAUACUGGGUGGCUUGAAUCCGGGAGAGGGAUGCGGAAUUCCAGGUGUAGCGGUGAAAUGCGUAGAUAUCUGGAGGAACACCGGUGGCGAAGGCGGCAUCCUGGACCGGCAUUGACGCUGAGGCGCGAAAGCCAGGGGAGCAAACGGG